rnacentral:lncRNA from 1 species
AAAGGUCGGUGGUUUGACACCUACACCUUCUCUUUUAAAUCACUUGCCAUCUACCCUUUUCUUAUAUCAUUUUCUUUCACUCCUUCCAGAUCUUUCUAAUUCUCUUGUCACCGUUUGCGAUCAUUGCUACUGUCAUUAGUGAUGUUGCAGUACCUGUUUUAAGUGAAGAUCUUAUGGAGAUACCUGAAGCCCCGGACUGCUCGGUCCUCUUUUAUUGGAUUCUAUAUCGAACCAGAAAGCCUAGCGUUCUCCAGUAAUUAACCCCUCUCUGCAUCAUACAAACUGGGUUUCAACAUAUUUCCAUACAAAGAAGACGGGAAGGUACUAUGCGUAAUUGGCUGGGAUU